UCCCUUUAAAGGUAAUGAAGCUGCAAAACCAUUUAAUGAUGGAAAGAAGUGUUUAGGAAAGUGCAAGCAGAACUGUGCUAAAAAUGAAUAUGAGGCUUCAAAGGCAAUGUGCCAUAAAGGAAUGGUUUACUGCUGCAAAAGAAAAGAUGCGCCUAAAGGAUAGAUGCUGUUUCAGCAGCAAGUUGAAGCAUAUGUGAGCAAUGAUUCAGAAGAAACUUGGAGCUGCCAAAAUGCCCUCCAUGAAUUCAACAUCUUAUAACAAUGCUGUGAUAUCCUGCUGCUAAUAAAACCUAAUUUGUUGUCCCUAA